rnacentral:tRNA from 1 species
GAGCUUUAGCCAAGUGGUAAGGCACCGGACUGCAACUCCGUUAGCACCGGUUCAAAUCCGGUAGGCUC